GUGGUCUAUAGUGCUAUGAGAAUUCUAUGAUGUAUGGAAACUCCACUGGAAAAGGCUGGACCUGAAAUGUGAAUAUUAGGUGGAAACAUGGUUAUGUAAAGGACUCUAAAGGUCUGUCUUCAAAUGGAAAAAAAAGGUUCAGAGGUCAGACGUUUAACUACUGGCUGGAAUGGUGGAAAGGGGGAAUGUAAGGAGAAAAGCUGGCCAUCGCAUGACACAACUAUAAACAGGUACCUAUCUUUACUGUCUAACAUACUGUUUUUUCUAAGUAUAUUUUUAAUUGGAGUGAAUGGAA
rnacentral:lncRNA from 13 species